AGAUGCUACCGAUUAUGGAUGGGCCCGCGGCUGAUUAGCUAGUUGGUGAGGUAAUGGCUCACCAAGGCGACGAUCAGUAGCCGACCUGAGAGGGUGACCGGCCACACUGGAACUGAGACACGGUCCAGACUCCUACGGGAGGCAGCAGUGGGGAAUAUUGCGCAAUGGGGGAAACCCUGACGCAGCAACGCCGCGUGGAGGAAGAAGGUCUUCGGAUUGUAAACUCCUGUCUUCUGGGACGAUAAUGACGGUACCAGAGGAGGAAGCCACGGCUAACUACGUGCCAGCAGCCGCGGUAAUACGUAGGUGGCGAGCGUUGUCCGGAAUUACUGGGCGUAAAGGGCGUGUAGGCGGCCUAGCAAGUCAGAUGUGAAAUCCCCGGGCUUAACUCGGGGGGUGCAUUUGAAACUGCCAGGCUUGAGUGCAGGAGAGGAAAGUGGAAUUCCCAGUGUAGCGGUGAAAUGCGUAGAUAUUGGGAGGAACACCAGUGGCGAAGGCGACUUUCUGGACGAUAACUGACGCUGAGGCGCGAAAGCGUGGGGAGCAAACAGGAUUAGAUACCCUGGUAGUCCACGCUGUAAACGAUGGAUACUAGGUGUGGGAGGUAUCGACCCCUUCCGUGCCGCAGUAAACGCAAUAAGUAUCCCGCCUGGGGAGUACGGCCGCAAGACUGAAACUCAAAGGAAUUGACGGGGACCCGCACAAGCAGCGGAGCAUGUGGUUUAAUUCGAAGCAACGCGAAGAACCUUACCAGGUCUUGACAUCCCUCUGAAUGGCGCUUAGCAGCGCAGGUCUUUCGGGACAGAGGAGACAGGUGGUGCAUGGUUGUCGUCAGCUCGUGUCGUGAGAUGUUGGGUUAAGUCCCGCAACGAGCGCAACCCUUGUCUUUAGUUGCCAGCAUUCAGUUGGGCACUCUAAAGAGACUGCCGGUGUCAAACCGGAGGAAGGUGGGGAUGACGUCAAGUCCUCAUGGCCUUUAUGUUCUGGGCUACACACGUACUACAAUGGCUAUAACAGCAGGGAGCUAAGGAGCAACAGCAAGCCAAUCCCUGAAAAGCACCCUCAGUUCGGAUUGUAGGCUGAAACCCGCCUACAUGAAGUUGGAGUUGCUAGUAAUCGCGAAUCAGCAUGUCGCGGUGAAUACGUUCCCGGG
rnacentral:rRNA from 1 species